CUCAGUCCUUUGACUCUCGCAGAUCAACAUUCCAGUAUCUCGUAUGUACCAGUGCUUCAAAAACGAAUCUCUCGCAGCCGAUGAAUCAGUCUGCUCCAGCGGACACCUGCGAUCCUCGACACCGUGUUUACCAGUGAUCCCAUCUCCGUGUAAACACGCGCUCAGACCUACAACCCUGAGGGGGUCAGGGCGAGAGCGGUGUGAGGAAGAGCAAGCAGGAUGGAUGAGGUGAGGCCGAGUAGGGCGACUGUGGAGGAGAACCAUAUGCCCUUCCCAGCUCGGGCGGCUGAUAACAGCACUGUGGUGGUUCUGAACUCAGUUCUGUCAACAGUGUGAAAGCAGAAGCUGGUGCUGUGCGAUGCUAGAAUAGUUCAACUUAAAUAUUAGUUUUUUUGUAAAGCAUAGACACAUGAACAAUUGUGAAGGAGUUACUGCCACAUAUGGUUAAAAUACAGGAGAAGGCGAGCAGCAGGUAAACAAUAACUGAGGGUGUGAUUUGUAGCGCUCUGCCUGAUCAUAACUUUUCCCUGAGACAGUUUUGGAUGUAACUCGGAGGGCAGUAAAAAGCUGAGCAGCAGAGGAGGCUGACAGCUUGACAUGGUUGGGAAUAGGAGGAGCAAGCAGUUCUUAUUUUAGCUACAGGCACUUGGCUAUUUUAGCUUGAGUAUGCGUUUGUGUGGGUGUGUGUGUGUGUGUGUGCACGGCUGGAGGAUUGUGUGAGUGUGUGAUAUAUUAGGACUCUUCUCCAAUACUAUUCACGAACUUGUGUCAAAUCCAAAACAUCCUGUGCUAACUUUAAGCCCGUGAGGCUAACGGCUAACUAGCUACCUGGCUAACAAGCAGCCUAAAUGUAUCGCUAGCCGCGAAGCUAACUCAUUCGCAUCCGGUACAGCGAAGUUCUGCAAACGGAGCGAGUCGGUGGUUUUGUACACUUGGCUCCCCGGCUGCCGCUGCUCCUCUCGGGUUACCUCCACGGCCAGCCCCAGCCUUAGCUUAGGAGCGCUAGCCGCCGUUAGCUCUCGGUUAGCAGGAGGCAGCAGCAGCAGCCGCAGCCCUCUUCCUCACGGCCCCGUCUCUCCCAGCUCCUUUGCCGCGGCCCUUACCAUGUCUGCGACGGUCUCAGCGGGGCAGGGGAGCACGGAUUCACCGACGUCUGGACGCCUUAGCUUCGCUGCAGGUUUAUCGAGUCGCUCCUCGCUCCUCACGGGUGUUUUGCUGUUCGUCGCCUUGUGUUUUUGACCCCCCCAGCGGAAGAUGUUUUUUUUUUGUUUUCGCC